GUAUUUUCCAACCGGUAUGUUUUUAGCAAAUUUAAUUUCUACGCUCCUUGUGUUGUUUGAUCAAAUCCUUUUUUCCAUUCCUCUAAAGUUAAAACUUACGAUGACUUGCCUCUCGUUCGAUCCGGGCUUUAGCUUGAAUAAAGAAGAUUAAUCGGAAUGCACGUUCCAUUCAUUGUUUUGAUAAUUUUGAUGAAUGGUCCCCCCCCCCCCCUUCCUUGUUGUCGUUAUGCAGAUACAGACAACUUUUCUUUCUUUCUGAUAUACCUUCAAUAAAAGAUGGUUAACUUGUGAUAUCACUCGGCCAUCGAAUUACAGAUCAUGUAUCAUUGAGAACUUUUGAUUAUAUGCACUAAUGUUGAUAGGCAUAUAGCUUCGUAAAAACAUUUGAG